UCCUGAAGCCAUUUCAUCUCAAGAUGUGAUCUUGUCAGAUCUUAUGACCAAAGUAGGGUUGAGCUUGGAUAGUACUUAGAUAGCAGACUUUAAAAGAAAACCCAGACGUUUCAGGAA
rnacentral:rRNA from 1 species